rnacentral:sRNA from 1 species
CGCGGUGGGCGCGCCUGCAGUCGCGGCGCUUUGGGGGCCCGGGCCACGUAGCACGACCCUGCCUGUGAACGCACAGACACCAGCGGUUCCAAGGGCGCGGGCAGGAAGCGGGCACCGAAGGCAGGCUGGAGAAGCGCGGGGCGGAAGCAAGAAGCCGCGCGGCGAGGAGGGCGCGUGGGGCCCCACACAGCCAUGGGGCGCGCGUACUACUGGCAGCGCAGGCUCUGGACCGCUAAGGAGGCCGCGCGCGCCCACGCGUGUCCCCGGCAGAGCUUCCAGGAGACGGCUGCGAGGCCCUUCCACCCGCGGACCAGAGCGCGCCGGGUCGAACCACGACCCACGUGCAGGC